GGGGUAUAGGUUUUCGGACCUAGAGACCGGCGCACGGGUGCGUAACGCGUAUGCAAUCUACCUUUUACAGAGGGAUAGCCCAGAGAAAUUUGGAUUAAUACCUCAUAGCAUUACAGAAUGGCAUCAUUCAGUAAUUAAAGUCACAACGGUAAAAGAUGAGCAUGCGUCCCAUUAGCUAGUUGGUAAGGUAACGGCUUACCAAGGCAACGAUGGGUAGGGGUCCUGAGAGGGAGAUCCCCCACACUGGUACUGUGACACGGACCAGACUCCUACGGGAGGCAGCAGUGAGGAAUAUUGGUCAAUGGGCGCAAGCCUGAACCAGCCAUGCCGCGUGCAGGAUGAAGCAUCUAUGGUGUGUAAACUGCUUUUGUACGAGAAGAAACACUACUUCGUGAAGUAGCUUGACGGUAUCGUAAGAAUAAGGACCGGCUAACUCCGUGCCAGCAGCCGCGGUAAUACGGAGGGUCCAAGCGUUAUCCGGAAUCAUUGGGUUUAAAGGGUCCGUAGGCGGUUUUGUAAGUCAGUGGUGAAAGCCCAUCGCUCAACGGUGGAACGGCCAUUGAUACUGCAAGACUUGAAUUAUUAGGAAGUAACUAGAAUAUGUAGUGUAGCGGUGAAAUGCUUAGAUAUUACAUGGAAUACCAAUUGCGAAGGCAGGUUACUACUAAUGGAUUGACGCUGAUGGACGAAAGCGUGGGGAGCGAACAGGAUUAGAUACCCUGGUAGUCCACGCCGUANACGAUGGAUACUAGCUGUUCGGAGCAAUCUGAGUGGCUAAGCGAAAGUGAUAAGUAUCCCACCUGGGGAGUACGUUCGCAAG
rnacentral:rRNA from 1 species